rnacentral:RNase_P_RNA from 1 species
AGUGCUUUGUAAUCGCUGCAUGAUAUUGCAGAGGAAAGUCCAUGCUCGCACAAACUGAGAUGUUUGUAGUGUUCGUGCUUGAUGAAUAAAUAAGUCAAGGUAACCAUUAUGGUUAACGGCAGCAAAAAAUUCUAAGUCCUUCGGGAUAUGAAUGAGUAUGCUUGAAAGUGCCACAGUGACGAAGCUGGAUUGAAAAAUUCCAGGUGGAACGAGGUAAACCCCGCGAGCGAGCAACCCAAAUAAUGGUAGGGGCACCCUUGAUUAGGGAAUUCAACCGAAAAAGGGACAAGCAUGACGAUAUUGCUUGUAGAUAGAUGAUUACAACCAGGUGUACGAGGCUGACCACCGUUUGAAGUACAAUGGAACAGAACAUGGCUUAUAAGC